UACGUAGGUGGCAAGCGUUAUCCGGAUUUAUUGGGCGUAAAGGGAACGCAGGCGGUCUUUUAAGUCUGAUGUGAAAGCCUUCGGCUUAACCGGAGUAGUGCAUUGGAAACUGGGAGACUUGAGUGCAGAAGAGGAGAGUGGAACUCCAUGUGUAGCGGUGAAAUGCGUAGAUAUAUGGAAGAACACCAGUGGCGAAAGCGGCUCUCUGGUCUGUAACUGACGCUGAGGUUCGAAAGUGUGGGUAUCAAACAGG
rnacentral:rRNA from 1 species